rnacentral:rRNA from 1 species
UCGCACCUACGGGAGGCAGCAGUGAGGAAUAUUGGUCAAUGGUCGGGAGACUGAACCAGCCAAGCCGCGUGAGGGAUGAAGGUACAGAGUAUCGUAAACCUCUUUUGUCAGGGAACAAAACCCGGGACGUGUCCCGGACUGCGUGUAUCCGAAGAAAAAGCAUCGGCUAACUCCGUGCCAGCAGCCGCGGUAAUACGGAGGAUGCGAGCGUUAUCCGGAUUUAUUGGGUUUAAAGGGUGCGUAGGCGGUCCGUUAAGUCAGCGGUAAAAUUGCGGGGCUCAACCCUGUCGAGCCGUUGAAACUGG